CCCGCACAAGCGGUGGAUUAUGUGGAUUAAUUCGAUGCAACGCGAAAAACCUUACCUACCCUUGACAUGCUAGGAACUUGCCAGAGAUGGCUUGGUGCCCGAAAGGGAACCUAGACACAGGUGCUGCAUGGCUGUCGUCAGCUCGUGUCGUGAGAUGUUGGGUUAAGUCCCGCAACGAGCGCAACCCUUGUCAUUAAUUGCCAUCAUUCAGUUGGGCACUUUAAUGAGACUGCCGGUGACAAACCGGAGGAAGGUGGGGAUGACGUCAAGUCCUCAUGGCCCUUAUGGGUAGGGCUUCACACGUAAUACAAUGGUCGGUACAGAGGGUUGCCAACCCGCGAGGGGGAGCCAAUCCCAGAAAACCGAUCGUAGUCCGGAUUGUAGUCUGCAACUCGACUGCAUGAAGUCGGAAUCGCUAGUAAUCGCGGAUCAGCAUGUCGCGGUGAAUACGUUCCCGGGCCUU
rnacentral:rRNA from 1 species